GAAAUGCGAUAAGUAAUGUGAAUUGCAGAAUUCAGUGAAUCAUCGAAUCUUUGAACGCACCUUGCGCUCCUUGGUAUUCCUUGGAGCAUGCCUGUUUGAGUAUCAUGAAAUCUUCAAAGUAAAUCUUUUGUUAACUCAAUUGGUUUCUACUUUGGUAUUGGAGGUCUUUGCAGCUUCACACCUGCUCCUCUUUGUUCAUUAGCUGGAUCUCAGUGUUAUGCUUGGUUCCACUCGGCGUGAUAAGUUAUCUAUCGCUGAGGACACUGUAAAAGGUGGCCAAGGUAAAUGCAGAUGAACCGCUUCUAAUAGUCCAUUGACUUGGACAAUACUUUUAUGAUCUGAUCUCAAAUCAGGUAGCACUACCCGCUGAACUUAAUC
rnacentral:misc_RNA from 1 species